rnacentral:rRNA from 2 species
UCGUAAAACUCUGUUGUUGGAGAAGAAUGGUCGGCAGAGUAACUGUUGUCGGCGUGACGGUAUCCAACCAGAAAGCCACGGCUAACUACGUGCCAGCAGCCGCGGUAAUACGUAGGUGGCAAGCGUUAUCCGGAUUUAUUGGGCGUAAAGCGAGCGCAGGCGGUUUUUUAAGUCUGAUGUGAAAGCCCUCGGCUUAACCGAGGAAGCGCAUCGGAAACUGGGAAACUUGAGUGCAGAAGAGGACAGUGGAACUCCAUGUGUAGCGGUGAAAUGCGUAGAUAUAUGGAAGAACACCAGUGGCGAAGGCGGCUGUCUGGUCUGUAACUGACGCUGAGGCUCGAAAGCAUGGGUAGCGAACAGGAUUAGAUACCCUGGUAGUCCAUGCCGUAAACGAUGAAUGCUAGGUGUUGGAGGGUUUCCGCCCUUUCAGUGCCGCAGCUAACGCAUUAAGCAUUCCGCCUGGGGAGACGACCGCAAUG